rnacentral:sRNA from 1 species
UUUCUCAGUUCCCCUUAUAUAUUCGUUCUUUCAUUAAAUUCUAGGAUCAAUUUGAUGCUGUACAGAGUCUAUUUCUGGGAGCCAAUGACUUAGGAAUAUUGAAUUUUCCAAACUCAGUAACACGGCUUAACUGAUCCUCAGAAUAAACCACCGGACCACCAUCUAACUGAUGGAUCGGGCACCUCAGUCCUCAGCUGUAGCCUAUACAAGGUGUCCCUGCUGUGAGCUAGGAGCCCACAAAGAGUUCUGCCGGAGACGGGUGUUCAUCAGAAGGUGAAAUCACCUUUGCGUUUUGAUCCAUGGCUUCCAAAGAUAGAAGAGAUGAUUGGUUUUCCCCGAGAUUCAAAUGAUACCGGCAUCCCGAACGAUGCUCAGAGAAUGUCGCUUUAAACAACAAAAUGAAGGCGUCCAUUGAUGGAUCUCCCACCCUUGCUGCUCCUGGCAGCGUCGCGUCGCUUUGGCUUGUGAAGAGGGCCGUGCCAGGAUUUCCUGCUCCACACCUGCCUUUGGAGGGGGCUGCAUGUGAGGAUUCUGUCAGGCCACCGCAGGCCUGGUGUAGACCAAGAUGCGUUCAAUGUACGGAGAUGAUGGAGUCAAGAGGAAACCACGGAGGAGGCUGUCCUGUGCUUCUGCCCAUCACCCUGAUCCUAGAUCUCUGCAGCUGGAGGCAUCCUGACUCUUAAGUGUUCAUACUGCCUCUUUGGUGUGAGCAGACCAGGCUAGGCCAGCUGUGGAGGUGAUAGCCUCUGUUACUCCUGAGCUCUCUGUGAUCCACAGGUGGGGAGUAUCCAGCUCUUCACCCAUGCUAUGAGUGGCAUUUACUUUACUUGGAGAAAGUUCUGGAUUGGACUCAUACCAUGAAAUACUAGGUAUCCUCACAAACCCAAGGCAGUCUCAUUGAAAAGGAGGCACCAAAGUCAGUAGCUCUCUGGAAUCUGCUGCUACCCUGUUCUCUUCAGAAGUAAGUUUGAUCUGUCUCUAAAACAAACAAACAAACAAACAAAGCAAGCCAAUUACAACAGCUUACAUUUGCAUGCAGAUAUCCUGAAGGGUGUGUACUGCUUUGCUGCAAGGUUUGCUUCACCUUAGAAGUGCCUUCACCUGAAGUGCCUCCAGGUCCACAUUUUCUCUGCGUCAAUUGUUAAACACGCUGGUGAGGUGGGGAUGGCACAGUCAACAACCCAAGCCGAAAGUGUGAGCAUGGGCUGAGGGCACACCCCAUGUGAGCAUCUGAGCUGGACCACCAUAGCCUCUCCAAUUGGAUGGUGUGUUCUUGACACAGUGGAACGAGAGAGACUCCCUGGGUGAUGCUGGCUGUCCACUCUGCUGCCGGUGCUACCUUAAGGUCCCCUGAGCAGCUAGU